rnacentral:rRNA from 1 species
UGGCGAACGGGUGAGUAACGCGUGAGGAACCUGCCUCAAAGAGGGGGACAACAGUCGGAAACGACUGCUAAUACCGCAUAAGCCCACGGGUCGGCAUCGACCUGAGGGAAAAGGAGCAAUCCGCUUUGAGAUGGCCUCGCGUCCGAUUAGCUAGUUGGUGAGGUAACGGCCCACCAAGGCGACGAUCGGUAGCCGGACUGAGAGGUUGAACGGCCACAUUGGGACUGAGACACGGCCCAG